CGGCGUGCCUAAUACAUGCAAGUAGAACGCUGAAGAGAGGAGCUUGCUCUUCUUGGAUGAGUUGCGAACGGGUGAGUAACGCGUAGGUAACCUGCCUUGUAGCGGGGGAUAACUAUUGGAAACGAUAGCUAAUACCGCAUAACAAUGGAUGACACAUGUCAUUUAUUUGAAAGGGGCAAUUGCUCCACUACAAGAUGGACCUGCGUUGUAUUAGCUAGUAGGUGAGGUAACGGCUCACCUAGGCGACGAUACAUAGCCGACCUGAGAGGGUGAUCGGCCACACUGGGACUGAGACACGGCCCAGACUCCUACGGGAGGCAGCAGUAGGGAAUCUUCGGCAAUGGGGGCAACCCUGACCGAGCAACGCCGCGUGAGUGAAGAAGGUUUUCGGAUCGUAAAGCUCUGUUGUAAGUCAAGAACGAGUGUGAGAGUGGAAAGUUCACACUGUGACGGUAGCUUACCAGAAAGGGACGGCUAACUACGUGCCAGCAGCCGCGGUAAUACGUAGGUCCCGAGCGUUGUCCGGAUUUAUUGGGCGUAAAGCGAGCGCAGGCGGUUUGAUAAGUCUGAAGUUAAAGGCUGUGGCUCAACCAUAGUUCGCUUUGGAAACUGUCAAACUUGAGUGCAGAAGGGGAGAGUGGAAUUCCAUGUGUAGCGGUGAAAUGCGUAGAUAUAUGGAGGAACACCGGUGGCGAAAGCGGCUCUCUGGUCUGUAACUGACGCUGAGGCUCGAAAGCGUGGGGAGCGAACAGGAUUAGAUACCCUGGUAGUCCACGCCGUAAACGAUGAGUGCUAGGUGUUGGAUCCUUUCCGGGAUUCAGUGCCGCAGCUAACGCAUUAAGCACUCCGCCUGGGGAGUACGACCGCAAGGUUGAAACUCAAAGGAAUUGACGGGGGCCCGCACAAGCGGUGGAGCAUGUGGUUUAAUUCGAAGCAACGCGAAGAACCUUACCAGGUCUUGACAUCCCGAUGCUAUUUCUAGAGAUAGAAAGUUACUUCGGUACAUCGGUGACAGGUGGUGCAUGGUUGUCGUCAGCUCGUGUCGUGAGAUGUUGGGUUAAGUCCCGCAACGAGCGCAACCCCUAUUGUUAGUUGCCAUCAUUCAGUUGGGCACUCUAGCGAGACUGCCGGUAAUAAACCGGAGGAAGGUGGGGAUGACGUCAAAUCAUCAUGCCCCUUAUGACCUGGGCUACACACGUGCUACAAUGGUUGGUACAACGAGUUGCGAGCCGGUGACGGCAAGCUAAUCUCUUAAAGCCAAUCUCAGUUCGGAUUGUAGGCUGCAACUCGCCUACAUGAAGUCGGAAUCGCUAGUAAUCGCGGAUCAGCACGCCGCGGUGAAUACGUUCCCGGGCCUUGUACACACCGCCCGUCACACCACGAGAGUUUGUAACACCCGAAGUCGGUGAGGUAACCUUUUGGAGCCAGCCGCCUAAGGUGGGAUAGAUGAUUGGGGUGAAGUCAUAAC
rnacentral:rRNA from 1 species